rnacentral:lncRNA from 1 species
CGGAUUCCACUUACAUUUGCAGGAGACAAGAAUAGAGGAUGAUUAUAAUCAAUUGCAUUAACUUGAGUUGCAUUUCCUGGAGUUUGAACCACUGUUUCACCAUUUACUGCCAUUCUUCCUGCUUUACUCAAGAUUUAGCUAGACACGAAAGAAAUGUUAGCAACAUCAAAGAAAAUUUCUGAAUUCUGCAAUGCGAUUUUGGAUCGUUAGAUGAAU